rnacentral:rRNA from 1 species
CCUACGGGAGGCAGCAGUAGGGAAUCUUCCACAAUGGACGAAAGUCUGAUGGAGCAACGCCGCGUGUGUGAUGAAGGGUUUCGGCUCGUAAAACACUGUUGUAAGAGAAGAAUGACAUUGAGAGUAACUGUUCAGUGUGUGACGGUAUCUUACCAGAAAGGAACGGCUAAAUACGUGCCAGCAGCCGCGGUAAUACGUAUGUUCCAAUCGUGAUCCGGAUUGAUUGGGCGUAAAGCGAGCGCAGACGAUUGGGUAAGUGCCGAGUGAAAGGCAAAAGCUUAACCGUGGAAGUGCUUUGGAAACUGGAUAACGCAAUUGCAGUAGAGGCGAGUGGAACUCCAUGUGUAGCUGUGAAAUGCGUAGAUAUAUGGACGGACAACAGUGGCGAAGGUGGCUCUCUGGACUGUAACUGACGUUGAGGCUCGAAAGUGUGGGUAGCAAACAGGAUUCGAUACCCCAGUAGUC